GAAUAAGAAGUCUGAAAGGUGAAUCUUCCAAGUAUGGCUUACAUGUCGGGAUGUUACCAAGGAUAUGCCUGUUCAUCAGCAUCUAGUUGGUCAACAGCCUUAGAGAAACUUCUUUCAGACGAGGUUCUGUAUCACUAAGGAUCUUGGAUGCCUGUGGCAGGUGAACUAACUCCAAAACAUAAUAAAAAACAAACUGCUUUCUUUA